rnacentral:rRNA from 1 species
GUAAGGAAUAUUGGUCAAUGGACGAAAGUCUGAACCAGCCAUGCCGCGUGGAGGAUGAAGGUCCUCUGGAUUGUAAACUUCUUUUAUCUGGGACGAAAAAAGGUCUUUCUAGAUCGUCUGACGGUACCGGAUGAAUAAGCACCGGCUAACUCCGUGCCAGCAGCCGCGGUAAUACGGAGGGUGCAAGCGUUAUCCGGAUUCACUGGGUUUAAAGGGUGCGUAGGUGGGUUGGUAAGUCAGUGGUGAAAUCUUCGAGCUUAACUCGGAAACUGCCAUUGAUACUAUCAGUCUUGAAUAUUGUGGAGGUUAGCGGAAUAUGUCAUGUAGGGGUGAAAUGCUUAGAUAUGACAUAGAACACCAAUUGCGAAGGCAGCUGGCUACACAUAUAUUGACACUGAGGCACGAAAGCGUGGGGAUCAAACAGGAUUAGAAACCCCAGUAGUCC